rnacentral:rRNA from 1 species
UUACACAUGCAAGUCGAACGGCAGCACGGGAGCAAUCCUGGUGGCGAGUGGCGAACGGGUGAGUAAUAUAUCGGAACGUGCCCAGUCGUGGGGGGAUAACGUAGCGAAAGCUACGCUAAUACCGCAUACGAUCUAUGGAUGAAAGCGGGGGAUCGCAAGACCUCGCGCGAUUGGAGCGGCCGAUAUCAGAUUAGGUAGUUGGUGAGGUAAAGGCUCACCAAGCCGACGAUCUGUAGCUGGUCUGAGAGGACGACCCAGCCACACUGGGACUGAGACACGGCCCAGACUCCUACGGGAGGCAGCAGUGGGGAAUUUUGGACAAUGGGCGCAAGCCUGAUCCAGCAAUGCCGCGUGCAGGAUGAAGGCCUUUGGGUUGUAACUGCUUUGUACGGAACGAAACGGUGAGCUCUAAUACAGUUUGCUAAUGACGGUACCGUAAGAAUAAGCACCGGCUAACUACGUG